GAUCAUGGCUCAGGAUGAACGCUAGCUACAGGCUUAACACAUGCAAGUCGAGGGGCAGCAUGUCGGUUGCUUGCAACCGAUGAUGGCGACCGGCGCACGGGUGAGUAACGCGUAUCCAACCUACCCUUGUCCAUCGGAUAACCCGUCGAAAGGCGGCCUAACACGAUAUGCGGUUCACAGCAGGCAUCUAAGGUGAACGAAAUGUGAAGGAGAAGGAUGGGGAUGCGU
rnacentral:rRNA from 1 species